AUCCGUCGGGGGGCCCUUAGGGGCUGAGAAGUUUUGCACUGACCCGUCGAACCUGAUCCGGAUGAUGCCGGCGGAGGGAACGGGUA
rnacentral:ncRNA from 1 species